AAACAAAGGGAAAGCGAAGCGGUGACGCCUGGCAAAGCCCAGAAAUAACGUCCCAGUUCGGAUUGUAGUCUGCAACCCGACUACAUGAAGCUGGAAUCGCUAGUAAUCGCGAAUCAGAAUGUCGCGGUGAAUACGUUCCCGGGUCUUGUACACACCGCCCGUCACACCAUGGGAGUCGGAAAUGCCCGAAGUCAGUGACCCAACCGCAAGGAGGGAGCUGCCGAAGGUGGAGCCGGUAACUGGGGUGAAGUCGUAACAAGGUAUC
rnacentral:rRNA from 1 species